rnacentral:rRNA from 1 species
UGCCAGCCGCCGCGGUAAUACGUAGGGGGCAAGCGUUAUCCGGAAUCACUGGGCGUAAAGCGUCUGUAGGCGGGGAAGUUAGUCAGAUAUUAAAUGUCGGUGCUCACCAUCGAACCUGUAUCUGAAACUGCUUUUCUAGAGGCUGGGAGAGGCAAGCGGAAUUCUCGGUGUAGGGGUAAAAUCCGUUGAUAUCGAGAGGAACACCAAAAGCGAAGGCAGCUUGCCGGAACAGUCCUGACGCUCAGAGACGAAAGCGUGGGGAGCGAAAGGGAUUAGAUA